UGAGCUUAGUAACUUAAGCUUGUAACCCAAGUGGGAGCAAUAAGGUGAUUGGGACGAUCAAUUUGACAAAUUCAGUGUGUGUUGGUUUAGUUGGUUUCUUGGUAUUGAGUCAGUAAUUAAUUAUACUGACUGUGUGUCAAUCCUUAAAUGGAGUUGGCGUAGAGUGGGAGUAGAUGGGGUGCCAUUGAAGGUGCACCUCCUGGGCUUUGAUAGCCCAGAAGUGCUGUCAAAGACCAGUAUUGAGUCAGUAAUUAUACUGAUUGUGUGUCAAUCCUUAAUGGAGUUGGCGUAGAGUGGGAGUAGAUGGGGUGCCAUUGAAGGUGCACCUCCUGGGCUGAC
rnacentral:lncRNA from 1 species